UACGUAGGUGGCGAGCGUUGUCCGGAUUUACUGGGCGUACAGAGCGCGCCGGCGGUCGUGCAAGUCGCGUGUGAAAGCCCCCGGCUCAACUGGGGAGGGUCACGCGAUACUGCUCGACUCGAAGGCAGGAGAGGGAAGUGGAAUUCCCGGUGUAGUGGUGAAAUGCGUAGAUAUCGGGAGGAACACCAGUGGCGAAGGCGACUUCCUGGCCUGUUCUUGACGCUGAGGCGCGAAAGCUAGGGGAGCAAACGGG
rnacentral:rRNA from 1 species